UCUAUCUAUCUCACGUCCUUUUUCUCUAUCUCAUUCUCUCUCUUUUUUCACUUUCUCUCUCUCUUUUUUCUCUUUCUCUCUCUGCGCCAUUCUUCUCCCUCUUCCACAACCUCCCCCCUCUGCUUCUUGUUCUUCUUCUUAUUCUUUGUCUUCCCCAACCUUCAUUCUGUAACAAAAUCAUCACCAUCCUCCUAUCUCUUUUGGUAUAUUUGUAUCACACCGAAAAAAUAAUGGUGUGCGAAUCAGCUUACGACGUGCAAAUAAGUUGGGUUAUGAAUUUAGGGUUUCAUCUUUUUUUUUUGAAAUCUUCUGAUUUAGUGUGUGUUGAUUUCAAGUAUGGUAGAUUCAUAAGGUUAAGCCUGAGUUGAGUUUUUUCGCUGAGUUUUUAAGCUAACAAAGAAUAUCGUCGGACGAGAUACGGAAGCGUGUCAGUAGCCACUCGGAAUUGCAGCACCCGAUAGAAGUGGUUAUGGGCUUAGGACGAAGAGCGAUGACCAGUGUAAAUGUUUGAGAAAGGGUUUAUAAAUAUAUUCACAAGCUGCAGAAAGUUAAUGAAACAAAAGAACGUGGACUUAAACAAGCUCAUAAUUAUGCAAGCCCAUGGAUGUUGACUAUGCUUACAGAUAACUACAAGUUUAUCGGUGUUGCGACAUAUGAUGAUAACAUGAAGGUAAAAAGAACAGCGUUUUCGAAGUGUAUGAGUUUAUGAUAUCCUGUAAAGGUGCUUCAAUAUACCAUCAUUGCCAUCAAAACCUUACAAUUAGAUCCAUGCCUACACUUUCACUUCUUCUUGAUAUCUUCAAAACCUUACUAUUAGAUCCAUUAUUUUACAAGUGACGCUAAAGUCAUCAUUGCCAAGGAAAGAGCAACAACUAAAGACUUUCUAUCAUGUCAGAUACCCUAAAAGAAAAUAGAGGACCAGAGUUGAGGUUGUGCAGUUCUUUCUGUUACAAUUUUUUAAAACUUUUUUUCAAUAUUUUUAUAUCUUUUCAUCCAAGUAUUACAACAUGUUGGCCAAAAAAGGUGUCUGAAGGAACAUGUGAUUCAGAAGUAAAAUCAGCAAGAACAUCUGCAGAAAAGGGACUCGAUCGUAGCUUUGAUGUGAAAGUAGCUAUUGUUGUUGAUGCAGUUAAAAAGGGUAGCAAAAUUUCAGAAGAAAGAACCACGGGUGAUGGUGGGCCAUCUUCCUGAAAGUCGAAGGACAAGAAAAAAGGUAGUGGAAAAACAGAAGAAAGAACCGAGGUUGAUGGUGGGUCAUCUUUGCGGGAGCUGGAGGACAAGAAAAAGAAGGGACAUGUGAAAGGUAGUUCUAGAAAAGGUUUAGCAAAAUCUUCCUUGAAAGAUGAGGAUAAGGUACUUUUAUGCUUACUUCAUUAGCUGCAACAUGGUAUUUUUGUGUCCAAAAGCAAACUAUUGACUAAUUUUGCGCACUCCAGGAAAAGAAAAAGUGUGAACCCUGCUCUUUUCUGUUAUAAUUUUGAUGAAAAACCCCAUGAUUUAAUCAUUUUGCGCUGUCCUUUGGGAAUGGUAUUUUUUGCAGUUUUAUGGUUUUUGUGUUGGACUUUUGCAAUGUGAUCAAAUAGUUUGCUGAGUAUUUUUUAAUGGGAAUACUGAUUUGGUGAAAUAACAAAAAUUUGUGUUGUAAAGUUGGUAUCAGUGCAGUGGUUGCUAGUUUUUGUAGGGGUCGAAGAAUUCGGAUAUUUUCUACAUAACUGACCAUGCGAUUAUUGUUGUUGCAGCAUAAUGUCCGAAGGAGUUUAAUUUGAGGAUUGUUAUAAAUUUGAUAUACAGGUCUAAAAAUUUGAUAUUACUGUUAGCAUUUAUAGUUUAUUCAACUUAAUUCCUACUAUAGAAUGAUUUAAAUAUAACAGGAAGUAACUGAGACAGACAACGAUGUUCAUGCUGCAGCAUGGGAAAAAAUUUCAAAGGAUUAAGAACCAUACUGUUAGUUUUCAAAGGAUGAAGAACCAUACUAUUAAUUUUCUUUCUUUCAUUGUCGCCGUCCUUGGUGGCCAAGUAACGUAACGUUACUAAAAUCUUCUAAAUAUUGAAUUUCAUUUUUGAUUUUGUUUAUUUGUUAAUUUGUUUUGCUUUUGGAAAUAACUAUUGCUUUGUAUAUCAUGCUAUUUAAAGAAGAAAAGACUUGCCGCUUUUCUUGCCUCUGUUUUAUUUAUGGUCAUACUCAAAAUUUUAUUUCUUUGGACAAUUUAUUACUUUAUUUCUUAUAUUAUUUGUGCAUAGUUUAAGGUUCUCAUGCUCUUUGAUAGAAGUCAUUAUCUAUUUUCUUUGCUCUAGUUUGAAUUUAUUUACUUAUUUAUAUAUACUUUUCCACAGGUUAAGAUUUGUGAUGAUGAUGAGUUUCUUGUGAUAGCAUGUGAUAGGAUAUGGUAGGUUACUCAGAUUUCCUCUAAAAACCGUCUUGAUGUUACCAGCUGCAUAUAAAUGGGAUUGCAUGUCCAACCAACGACUUGUGGACUAUAUUCAUGGCCAGUUAAAGGCAGAGGAUAAACUUUAUGCGGUUUGUGAGAAAGUAUUUGAUAUGUGCUUCACACCAACAGUUGGCAUACUCGUUGAUUUUCAUCCGAGUUGGAGCCCUUCUUUCAUUUGUGAUGCAAAGAAUCCAUUUGUUCUCAUGAUCAAAAUCAAUGGAUGAGUAUUUCUCUUCAACGAUGAUAAAGUGUUUAUCCCUUUUAAAAAUCUUUUCCCUUUUAAGUGGAAUUACAUUAGCUCUGACUUCUCCAUUGCACCGAGGAGGUAUGUAGGCACAAGGCUUAAUGUCUCGCCGAGCUUAUUUUAAAAAUAAAACAAAUCCUUUUUUUAGCACACGACACAGAUUUUCAAAAAGGUUCCUGUGGAAUACCAUAGAUAUGAGGGGUGCUUAAAACCUUCCCCUUGUAUAAUCAAUACCCGUACCUAAGAUCUCUUUUUGUUUUAUUAAAACAAACUUUGGGUUUUUUCGUUCUUUUCCCAUUUCCUUUGGAAACAAUAAAACGCGGUGGCGACUUUCACUGAAAUAUUGAGUCGAGUCAAUUAAUGGCUUUGAUCUCAGAUUUUCCCCGCUACAUAACAAUGAGUUAUUCAACUGAGCUAAAAUUACCAAGUUUGGAUACAGAGUGUGUGAUAUGUCUUCUUCAAAAAUGGAGACUACCUAACUUUUAGCUACAUAUGAUUGACAAAAUUGGAAUUAGUUGCAACUAUUACUUGCAUAAAUUGGGAUUUCUGGCCAAUUUGGAGACGGUUGAGCAGAUGCAUCUGAAGCUGGAGGAUUUAGAGCCGGUUGAGCAGAUGGCUGAGGUUGGUCUAUGGCAGAAGCAUCUGAAGUGGAAGUAUUUUUGAACUGAAUCAAGAUCAUGGUCAUGUUAUCACAUGCUCUUUCACGUGGAAAAGAUUCCAUUAUAUCAAUCAAUCUCAAAAUCGUGGGGUAUCGCAACUCACUACAACAAUUAAUCGUGUCUAAACUUUGAAAGAAAAGCCACUAAGGGCAGAAGAUAUUUUAGAGAAAUAUUUUUAAAAAUAUUGCAAACAUAAGAAGAUUUUGGAAAAAGGGAGAAGAUUUUGAAAAUCUAUGAAGGGGGGGAGAUGAAGAGGCUAUCCUAGUGUAUAAAAUAAAAGCUAAGGAAAGAACAAUCUAACCAAAAAGAAGCCAACACUUGACAUUAAGAGUCAAGGUAGAUUUCCCAUCCUUUAGACUAUCAAAACUAAGCCAACACAUUACCACUUGGGGAUCCAGAUGAACUUAUUAUCUUUAGCACCACUUUGCAUUAAGCACAUUAAAAUUCUGAUGAAAAUCGGGCAGAGUAGCGGCUGUUUUUGGAUAAAAUACUUAUCACGACGCCUUGGAAUUAACCAUCAAGGGCUUUCGAGGAAAUACCUACACACACAAACAGACAACAAUCCAAUGCCAGACAGAUGGAAUAACAAUAGAGUAACAACAGAAUAACAGGGUCCAGAGGUACUAAGUCCAACAAGUCCAAGUCUCUAAAAUGCUCGGGAUAAUAACCAAUAGUCCAUAGGGCCUUAAGUAUUUUUUAGAUUUUAAGUUAUUUAUUAAUGUUUUAGCAUAAAAAUAGAGUAUGGUCCAAAUGGACAAAAAGAAAAUAGCGGAAACAUAAACAAAACUUCCAAAUGGACAAAGAGAAAAUAGCGGAAUAUAAAUGUCAAAAUGGACAAAGAGAAAAUGGCGGGAGCAUAAACAUGAUGAAAUGAUAAAAUAAAGCAUAAAGCGAGAAAUAUAAAGAGCAAUAUAAUAAAAGUGCGGAAAUUAAAGUCAAUUGUUAGAUGUUAAAUAUAACCAUCUUGAAGCUUGUCAAGUAUGUUAUCAAAGUUAGUAAUAAAGAUCGAUGGUGAGUGAAGGAUGUUCUCGGAUUUAAA